UCCUUAUCGGCUCACAGUAUUCUCGUUCACGUCAGGUCCUUAUUGGCUCACGACAAAAAGAGCUUUGGAUUUGAUCCAUGUAUUGCGUAUGUAUGAUUUCAUCUCUUCCCUUCCCUUAUAAUAUAAACUUAACCAACACCCAGUCUUCUCCCAUAGGCUCAGAAGAGGGUCAAUACGACCCCUUUGAGAAAGAACAAAAAAUGCAACCAUCAGAGCCAUUGCGGGUGAUUGCGACUUCGAAAGCCUAAGGAACAAACUUGCUACUUUUGAUUAUGGUUGCAUCUCUUCCCUUCCCUUAUAAUAUAAACUUAACCAACUGCAACUGAUUCACACGUAAAAUUAGAUCUCCAUCAAUACGCUCAUAUGACAUAACAUAUUAGGAGUCGAGACAGUUCCUUUCAUUCGAAGGUGGGUUGGUAUUGAAUGAUUUCUUUGGUGGCCCUCUGAUUGUCCCAGACAAAGGAUAUCCCGGUUCCCCAUUUACCAACCAAUCAUUGCAAGGUAGGUACUAAUGGAUCAAUGGAAACCAGUGAAACACUAGUCAAGAUCGAGAAAUUGACUAGUUUCAUUGGUCAGCCUUUCCCCAUCCCGCCCCUUCCCUUACAUAUAGAACUUAUGAAUAUAAUCUUAGGCAACUCCUUGAUGCUCCAGGUACGGGUCGAACCAAUUUAUCUAUUGC
rnacentral:lncRNA from 1 species